AUUGAACGCUAGCGGCAUGCUUAACACAUGCAAGUCGAGCGGCAGCGCGGGGAAACCUGGCGGCGAGCGGCGGACGGGUGAGUAAUACGUAGGAAUCUGCCUUGUAAUGGGGGACAACCCGGGGAAACUCGGGCUAAUACCGCAUAAUCUCUAAGGAGGAAAGUAGGGGACCUUCGGGCCUUACGUUAUAAGAUGAGCCUGCGUCGGAUUAGCUAGUUGGUGGGGUAAAGGCCUACCAAGGCGACGAUCCGUAGCUGGUCUGAGAGGACGAUCAGCCACACUGGGACUGAGACACGGCCCAGACUCCUACGGGAGGCAGCAGUGGGGAAUAUUGGACAAUGGGGGAAACCCUGAUCCAGCAAUGCCGCGUGUGUGAAGAAGGCCUUCGGGUUGUAAAGCACUUUCAGUGGGGAAGAACUAAUUCAAGGUUAAUAACCUUGAGUCUUGACAUUACCUACAGAAGAAGCACCGGCAAACUCUGUGCCAGCAGCCGCAGUAA
rnacentral:rRNA from 1 species